GUAUGUGGUUUAAUUCGAUGCAACGCGAAGAACCUUACCUGGUCUUGACAUCCCGGAGACCCUUAGGAAACUAGGGGUGCUUCCAUCUGGAGAAUCUGGAGACAGGUGCUGCAUGGCUGUCGUCAGCUCGUGUCGUGAGAUGUUGGGUUAAGUCCCGCAACGAGCGCAACCCUUGCCUUUAGUUGCCAGCAGUUCGGCUGGGCACUCUAAAGGGACUGCCGGUGUUAAACCGGAGGAAGGUGGGGAUGACGUCAAGUCCUCAUGGCCUUUAUGACCAGGGCUACACACGUACUACAAUGGCCGAUACAAAGGGCAGCGACACUGCGAGGUGAAGCCAAUCCCGUAAAAUCGGUCUCAGUCCGGAUUGGAGUCUGCAACUCGACUCCAUGAAGUUGGAAUCGCUAGUAAUCGUGGAUCAGCAUGCCACGGUGAAUACGUUCCCGGGCCUU
rnacentral:rRNA from 1 species